AAAAAAAAAAAAAAUUUUAGUAUAAAUUUGAGAAAAAAAAUUAAAGUUAGAAAUAUAAAAUUCUCUAUUAUUUAAAAAAGUGUAUUUUUUCAUACAUAUUUUUUUUAUUAUAAAAAAUUAUAAUAAAGAAAAUGAAAUGUGAUGAAAGAGAAAAUAAAUUCAAUAAAAGUUUAAAAAAAAUUUUUAUGUAUUUUUUAUAAAUAUAAAAAUGUAUAUAAGUUUUGUUUAAACUUUUUUAAUUUUUUUUUUAUAGCGCUUUUAUUUUAAAUUUAAAAAAUAUUAUUUAAUAAUUUUGGUUUUUUUCCCUUAUGACAGAAAGAAAAUAAUAUAAAUAAUUAUAUUAACUUUUUUUUUUUUUCUUAUUUUUAUAUGUAAAAUAUUAAUUUUUUUUUUUUUUCUUUAUUAUUUUUAAAAUCCGUUAAUUCCCUUAUAAAAUUAUAAGGGAUUAAAAAAAAUUAAAUAGAAAGAAGAAAUUGAGGAUUUAUUAUUUAUAUUUUAUAAUUUUUAAUUUGUAAGUUUUUUAUAAACAUCUAAAAAAAUUUAUGUAUAAUAUAAAAUAAGUUUUAAUCUUUUUAUUAUAUUUAUUUUAAAUUAUAAUUUUUUUUAUAUAUAUUAUUAAUAUAUGUAAAAAGUUUUUUAAUAUAAAAUUUUUAACAAUUAUAUAAUAAAAUGACAAAAGAAAAAAUAUAGUACUUAUUUUAUUAUAAUUUUUUUCUUUUUGAUUUUUAUAAAUUAUUAUAAAACAGUAAA